rnacentral:rRNA from 1 species
UACGUAGGGCGCAAGCGUUGUCCGGAAUUAUUGGGCGUAAAGAGCUCGUAGGUGGUGUGCCGCGUCUGCCGUGAAAGCCCGGGGCUUAACUCCGGGUCUGCGGUGGAUACGGGCAGACUAGAGGCAGGUAGGGGAGAACGGAAUUCCCGGUGUAGCGGUGAAAUGCGCAGAUAUCGGGAGGAACACCGGUGGCGAAGGCGGUUCUCUGGGUAGUAACUGACGCUGAGGAACGAAAGCGUGGGUAGCGAACAGG